GAUGAACGCUGGCGGCGUGCUUAACACAUGCAAGUCGAACGGAAAGGCCAGUGCUUGCACUGGUACUCGAGUGGCGAACGGGUGAGUAACACGUGGGUGAUCUGCCCUGCACUUCGGGAUAAGCCUGGGAAACUGGGUCUAAUACCGGAUAGGACAAUGGUUUGGAUGCCGUUGUGGAAAGUUUUUUCGGUGUGGGAUGAGCUCGCGGCCUAUCAGCUUGUUGGUGGGGUAAUGGCCUACCAAGGCGUCGACGGGUAGCCGGCCUGAGAGGGUGUACGGCCACAUUGGGACUGAGAUACGGCCCAGACUCCUACGGGAGGCAGCAGUGGGGAAUAUUGCACAAUGGGCGCAAGCCUGAUGCAGCGACGCCGCGUGGGGGAUGACGGCCUUCGGGUUGGAAACUCCGUUCGCUAGGGACGAAGCGUAUUUGUGACGGUACCUGGAGAAGAAGCACCGGCUAACUACGU
rnacentral:rRNA from 1 species